GAUGAACGCUAGCGGCAGGCCUAACACAUGCAGGUCGAGGGAGAAGCCCUUUCGGGGGCAGAAACCGGCGCACGGGUGCGUAACGCGUAUGCAACCUACCUUUCACAGGGGGAUAGCCCGAAGAAAUUUGGAUUAAUACCCCAUAAUAUUAUUGGAUGGCAUCAUUUGAUAAUUAAAACUGCGGUGGUGAAAGAUGGGCAUGCGUCCUAUUAGCUAGUUGGAGUGGUAACGGCACCCCAAGGCUACGAUAGGUAGGGGUCCUGAGAGGGAGAUCCCCCACACUGGUACUGAGACAGAGACCAGACUCCUACGGGAGGCAGCAGUGAGGAAUAUUGGUCAAUGGUCGGAAGACUGAACCAGCCAUGCCGCGUGCAGGAAGAAUGCCUUAUGGGUUGUAAACUGCUUUUAUAUGGGAAGAAUAAGGCGUACGUGUACGUUGAUGACGGUACCAUAUGAAUAAGCAUCGGCUAACUCCGUG
rnacentral:rRNA from 1 species